UGCAGCUCGUGGCAACGCUAGAUGUAUGACCCACUGAGAGAGGCCAGGGAUCCAACCUGAAUCCUUAUGGCUACUGGUUGGGUUCUUAACCUGCUGAGCCACACCAGGAACUCUGAUAGUUACUUUCAAUUCACUCUUCCCCAGACCCUGUGCCCAUCUGUGACUUGACCAGCUGCUAUGACAUGGGGCCUCUUGCUGACCAGCCAGCCUGCAACAUCAUGACAAUUGUUUACUAUUGUGCUUGCAUGCUCCAGGGUCUGUAGCAGGAACACUGUACCCGUGAUCGGACUCAAAAUUUCCAGCUAAAGACAGGAUAGCUGUUUUGAGUGUUUGUCUCUAGAACCUGCAGCAGUGCAGUUCACUCCUGAUGAUUUGGCUGGGAUUCUGGGUGACCCGAUGAUAACUCUCACAGCAGAAUUUUCACAAAUAAAAUUCUUUCAGAAAAUGGGUCUUUGUUUCUUUCUGAUCGGACCAAAGGUCUUAGAGAUUGGUGUGAGGCAGAAAAAAGGAAAAGCUGAGAAAUGGGGCUAGGGUGGCACUUUUCCUCAUAGAAACUAGGUGUUCUGUGGCCAAGAAAAAAUUUGAGAAACAGAGUUCUAGGCCUCAUGCUCCUUUAUUCCAGGCUCUGAGAAGUCCUGCAGGGGAGAGACCCAGCUAACUUGUUUUAACCUGGCAGUCUCUGUCUUAGUCGGCUUCAAAACACUUUUUUCACAUAGUAGUUUCUAUGUUUUGGCACUAGCAAUCUGAGGGACAUAUUUUGGAGGGGAAGAAAAAAAAGCAGGAGAUAAACUAUUAAUUUUUUCUGAACCUGAGAAGAACUGGGGGUGGCAGCUGGCUGUUUAUAUACUCCUCCACUCUUGCCUUGAGUCAGUGUAGGUUUAGCUGUGCCUCCCAGGUGCCCCAAUCAGAUGGACUAGGGGUUAAUCACCUCCACUUUACAGAUGAGGAAAGUGAGCAUCAGAUCAAGCCUCUUUCCCAGGGUGCUUCAGCUCAUAAGCGUCAGGGCUGGGAUCAGGAUUCGGCCUGCCUGACAUGAAAGCCCAGGCUGGUUUUUUCUCUCCCUGAAUGUCUGGCCCUAUCCAUAAGUGGAAUUGUGCAGGCUGAAGCCAGGCCCUGGGCCCUGUGCUACAGAAACACCCAAUGGCUCCCCCUGCUACUGGGCUGCAGAACCAUCCUAAUCUCAUCUGGGGCUGCCCAGUGGGACCCAGUCCCAUCCCAGCAUCUGGACUAGCAAGGUAGUAAGAGCAUGGGCCUCGAAUCAGGCGGCUUAGGCAGCCGGGGAUGGUGAUGAGGAUGCUGGGAAGGUUAAAUGAAGGCCUGCAUGUAAAGUGUUUAGCACAGGACUUGGCCUAGAGUAAGGGAUCAGGGGACAUCAGCCACGUGUAGCUGUCUGGGCCACUCACUGCACUGUGAGUAGCUGAGGGCUCAGCAGAGGCUCGUGAAUGGUGAUGGUGAUGGUGGAAGAGGGGAGGAGAAGCAGCAUCCAGGGUUCAGAUCCCAGCUCUCUUAUGCUCAGGUGACUAUGCGACCUUAGGAGACUUAAGCCUCUCUCUCAGCCCACAUUCCACACCCGUAAAAUGGAUUGUGGCAGACAAUAACCACUGCCUACCACAUAUCCAUUCUUUCUUUCCAAAUGAACAAAAUCCUGGAUCUUAGCUGGGCACAUGGUACACAAAUAAAAGACUACAUUUUCCCAAACUCUCUGGCAACCAGAAGUGGCCACGUGACAACGUGUUUAAUGUGCCAACGAGAUAUAAGCUAAAAUGUGGGACUUCUAGGAAGUUUCCUUAAAAGGGAGUGGGCCCUACCCUUGUCGCUCUCCUCUUCCAUCUUGUUGCCUGAGACAUGGAUGCGAUAGCUGGAGCUCUUGCAGCCAUUUUGGCCUAGAAGGACAAGAAGCUGUGUGCUGCAGAACCUAGAUCCCUAAUGAUUCCACAGAGUUCUAUUAACUUCUAUUUUCUGUUAAGUUCUAAUAACUUCUAUUUUCUGACAUCCUUUACACAUAAGAAAAAUAAACCUCAAUUUUGUCUACGCCACUGCAGUAGACUGGCUGUAUUAACUGCCUCUCUGUAUCUACACCCUUUGCCCUAUAACUUGUAUGGUCUCCCUCUGACUCUGGCUCUGGGCUUGGCCAUGUGACUUGCUCUGGCCAAUGGAAUAUAAGCAAACAUGAUAUAAACAGAGGCUUGAAAAAGCCCUUCCAUGUAUCUGUUGGCUGUCUAGGUGCCCUGUGAUUGCCAAGAGAACAUGCCCAGGCCGACCUGCUGGAGGCCAAGACACGUGGAGCAGAGGUGUUGCCCCCGUCGUCCUCAUCAGGGCUAUUUCUGACCAGCUGACAGCAGUCAACCCCAAACAUGCAAUAGAGCCCUGACCAGACCCAAAGAGCCGCCAAGUGACCCGGACUAGCUGAAGUGCAAACAAACGAAUGCUCCCUGCCUCGACCCAUCCAACCAGAAGACUCAUGUACUAGAUAAGUGCUUCAUGCUUUACGCCAUUGCUUUUGUGGUUGACUGCUAAACAGCAUUACAGUGGCAGCAGCUAUCUGUGAUUUUUUUCUUCCCAUUACAGGCAGUGAAACCCAAUCUUAGCUGAGCGUCUAGGCAGGCAGUGCCUCCUCUGCCGAAUGCUUGGGAGGAUCAAAGAGGACGAUGCGUGCAGAGGGCUCGGCCUGGGGAGGGAAGUGCCCUCUCCCUCUCUCUUCCUUUCUCCAGGCAUGAGCCUCCAUGGGGGCUCUCUUGGCCCAUCUCUUUCUGAUCCUCUCCACCCCCAGGGAGAGAAGUAGGUGAGUACACGCUCAUGCCAGUUCUAGAGACCAGCCACUGUGUGCCCGCUCCACAGGAGGGCGAAAGGAUCAGAGGAGAACACAGCUGGCAGAAAAGGCUUUGCGAAGUUGUAAGUUUUUCUGUGAGAGAGCCAUGUGGAGUGGUGUCAUGGACAGAGGCUGUGACACCUGGCCAGGGUGUUGGAGACCAGCUCUGCGGGGGACCUGCUGUAUCAUCUUGGGCAGCCACUCUCUGGGCCUCAAUGUUCCUGUCUAUACAGGAGGUAUUUGCAUGGGAUGAACCCUGAGGUGCUUUAAUUUGACUUAGGUUAGCUUCCAUGAGUCUUAGAAUCACCCCCGAAGAGGUCCAUGACCUAAUCCCCCACAUGGCUGAAUAGUUAUCUUAGGAGGCAAAAGAGACUUGGCAGAUGCGAUUAAGGUUAUGGCCCUUGAGAUGGGAGAUUAUCCUGGAUUAUCCAGGUAGACUCAGUCUAAUCACUUGAGUCCUUAAAAGAGAAGACUCUUUCCCAGAUGAGAGUCAGACCAGAGAGCGGGAGUAUAAGGAGGACGCCCUGCUGCCGCUUCUGAGAUGCAGGAGGCCUCGGGUAAGGACUGGGGAGAGGCCCCUGGCCCCAGGGGACCUCCUGGCUGACAGUCAGCAAGAAAGCGGAGCCCUCACGCCUACAAACACAUGGAGCUGAAUUCUGCUAACAGCUGUAUGAUCGUGGAAACGGACCGUUCAUUACAGCCGCAAGGAAUGCAGACCUGCAGACACCUUGAUUUUAACCUGACGAGAUCCAGGCUAGACUUCUGACCCAUGGGGCUGUCUGAUAAGAACUGUGUGUCCUUCUCGGUCGCUAAGUUCGUGGUAUUUUGUUGUAGGGGCAGUCAGUAAAUGACACACCUUCUCAUUUCAUUUUAUGCCCAGCGGCCAUGUGCUGGCUGCGUUGUCCUCCUUAUCACUCACCUGGCAACCACCUUGCACAGCUCGGAUGAUGGACAUAUGCCCAUUUGGAAGGACCAGGGCGACCCGAAGGAUGAGUCCCGCUUUGCUGAAAUGCUGCAGGCGCGCCAAGGUCUGCACAGCUGCUUCUGCCUUGUCCCUCGGAUCUCGGCUCAUGUGCCACCUCCUCAGAGAGGCUCCCCCUCUGAUCCUCUGAGGUCGGGGACCACGGCCGCUGCACAGCGGACUGAAUCCUGCGUCUGUCCCUUCCCAGCUGAGGGAGGCCUGGCACCGGCUUAACCGCUCCCGUUUCCUCAUCCUUCAAGCGAGGAUACACAGCCCAGCCUGGCCUCCUGGCCUGGGGGCCCUGAGAGUACUCAUGCACACGGGGCAGAAAGGCCUUCUGGAAUGGUAGAGUGUGGUUCGAAGGCGGCGUGACGGCUUUAUGAAUUCAGAAGACGGCUCUGGCCCCGGCGAAUGCCAAGGGAUUGCGAGCAAGGCCCAGUCACUUGCCCCAAAGAAAUACUUUUUCCUUUUAAGGCAGUGAGCUAGAUAUUUAUAUAUUGAAUUUUAGGGUCUGAUGAAAACCGAGCACUGAAUGCAUGUGUCUGGAAAUCAAGUUCCUGGCCUUGUUGUCCAGCCUCAUCCUGCUCCUCCACACCCCACCUCACUCCACACUUCUCUGGAUCCUUCAGCAAAUGCUCGCUGAGCUGCAGUGUGCCCCGGCGAGGUGCCAGGAAAAUCUCAGUGAGGGAAAGGGGACAUCGUGUACUGCCGAGUGGGAGACAGGACUGAAAUGAUCAAAGAUAUGAGGCUAAAGUCUCAGCCACGGCAAUUUGAGGGCCAUGGUGCUGGGGGCAUGCGACCAGAUCAGGAAGGUCAAUGAAGAUGGGCUGAGGUCCAAGGGAUGGGCUAAAGGGGAAAAGCAUUCCAAGCAGCAGGAACAGCAUAGGCAAAGACUCUGUGGUAGUGGAGCCUGAUGCCCAGGAGGAAUAAAAAGAACCCUCCUUCCAGCCAGCCUCCUGCACUUCCCUCCCUUCAAGAUUCUAUCCCUGCUUGUUAGAAACCGCUCCAUUCUUCACAGCCAAGCUCACAUGCCUCCUCUUCCAGGAAGCCUUCCGUGACAUGCCUUUUCCCAUUUCCCCAUAGGAAAUGAUCUCCUCUGCCUGGGAUCUCCCUGACUCACCAACCCCUCCUAGGGCCCUCACUCAUGCCAUCUUGUAUGUAAACUCUGUCCAUGUCUCACCUUCCCAACCAGCACAUAAAUCCUUAAUGGCAGGAACCAUGGCUUCUCCAGUGUAGACUUGGGGUUGUGCGGUCCUGAAUUUACACCUGACUUGAGGCCACUUAGAAGCGGGACUUUGCAUAAAUGACGCCUCUUUUGGG